UUGUAAUGAUGACCUCUUAGGACACCUUUGGAUUAAUGAUGAAAAAAACUUUGACUUUUCUGAGCAAC
ensembl:snoRNA SNORD58 Small nucleolar RNA SNORD58